AUCGUUGGAUUUUCGCGCCUUUUCGUUUCUCCUGAGAUCAAAUCUGAGCCACUUGAUCGUGAUUGAUUCGGACCGUUGGAUCGAUCCCGUGGUUCAGAUGGAAGCGGCGCGGAUUUUCCUGUACGGAUGCGUUGGCCUAUAUAUAGGAGGGAGGUUUUUUCGUUUGAAACUUUACAGUUUCUUACUCACUCCUUACCAACUCCCUUGCUUCCAUUCCUUCCGGCGAUUCACAUUUUCUUUGUUGCUAUACUUCAAGCGUCUUCUUUUCCAUUAAUCACCAAGUAAGUGUUUUAUCCUUGUUAAUCUUUUGAAGAUUUGGCUUUGGAUUUUAC
rnacentral:lncRNA from 1 species